rnacentral:rRNA from 1 species
UACGGAGGGGGCUAGCGUUGUUCGGAAUUACUGGGCGUAAAGCGCGCGUAGGCGGACCUGCAAGUCGGGGGUGAAAGCCCGAGGCUCAACCUCGGAACUGCCUACGAUACUGCGGGUCUCGAGUCCGGGAGAGGUGAGUGGAACUGCGAGUGUAGAGGUGAAAUUCGUAGAUAUUCGCAAGAACACCAGUGGCGAAGGCGGCUCACUGGCCCGGUACUGACGCUGAGGUGCGAAAGCGUGGGGAGCAAACAGG